rnacentral:rRNA from 1 species
GAUGAACGCUGGCGGCGUGCCUAAUACAUGCAAGUCGAGCGAACGGACGAUAAGCUUGCUUCUCUGAUGUUAGCGGCGGACGGGUGAGUAACACGUGGAUAACCUACCUAUAAGACUGGGAUAACUUCGGGAAACCGGAGCUAAUACCGGAUAAUAUUUUGAACCGCAUGGUUCAAAAGUGAAAGACGGUCUUGCUGUCACUUAUAGAUGGAUCCGCGCUGCAUUAGCUAGUUGGUAAGGUAACGGCUUACCAAGGCAACGAUGCAUAGCCGACCUGAGAGGGUGAUCGGCCACACUGGAACUGAGACACGGUCCAGACUCCUACGGGAGGCAGCAGUAGGGAAUCUUGCGCAAUGGGCGAAAGCCUGACGGAGCAACGCCGCGUGAGUGAUGAAGGUCUUCGGAUCGUAAAACUCUGUUAUUAGGGAAGAACAUAUGUGUAAGUAACUGUGCACAUCUUGACGGUACCUAAUCAGAAAGCCACGGCUAACUACGUG